rnacentral:rRNA from 1 species
CACGAACGCUGGCGGCAGGCUUAACACAUGCAAGUCGAGCGCCCCGCAAGGGGAGCGGCAGACGGGUGAGUGACGCGUGGGAAUCUACCCAUCUCUACGGAAUAACGCAUGGAAACGUGUGCUAAUACCGUAUACGUCCUUCGGGAGAAAGAUUUAUCGGAGAUGGAUGAGCCCGCGUUGGAUUAGCUAGUUGGUGGGGUAAAGGCCUACCAAGGCGACGAUCCAUAGCUGGUCUGAGAGGAUGAUCAGCCACACUGGGACUGAGACACGGCCCAGACUCCUACGGGAGGCAGCAGUGGGGAAUAUUGGACAAUGGGCGCAAGCCUGAUCCAGCCAUGCCGCGUGAGUGGUGAAGGCCCUAGGGUUGUAAAGCUCUUUCACCGGUGAAGAUAAUGACGGUAACCGGAGAAGAAGCCCCGGCUAACUUCGUGCCAGCCGCCGCCGUAACAC